UUAUAUGGUCAAGAAGAGAAGCGCAAACGGUGGAUGCCUUGGCAGUAAGAGGCGAAGAAGGACGUGGAAUCCUGCGAAAAGCUAUGGGGAGCUGGAAACGAGCGAUGAGCCAUAGAUGUCCGAAUGGGGGAACCCGGCUGCAGCGAUGCGGUCAUUUGCAUUUGAAUACAUAGGAUGCAAAGGCGAACUCGGGGAACUGAAACAUCUAAGUACCCGAAGGAAAAGAAAUCAAGAGAGAUUCUCCAAGUAGCGGCGAGCGAACGGGGAGGAGCCUGGCGUGAUUUAUUAUUGAACUGAGUAGAACAAUUUGGGAAAGUUGGCGAUAGAGGGUGAAAGCCCCGUAUACGAAGGUUUGAUGAGGAACUAGGCACGCGAACAAGUAGGCCGGGACACGUGAAAUCCUGGUUGAAGAUGGGUGGACCAUCAUCCAAGGCUAAAUACUACUUACUGACCGAUAGUGAACCAGUACCGUGAGGGAAAGGUGAAAAGAACCCCGGAGAGGGGAGUGAAAUAGAAUCUGAAACCGUUUGCGUACAAGCAGUGGGAGCAUGGUUUAGGCUGUGUGACUGCGUACCUUUUGUAUAAUGGGUCAGCGAGUUACUUUCAGUGGCGAGGUUAACUGAAUAAGGGAGCCGUAGAGAAAUCGAGUCUGAAUAGGGCGAUAGUCGCUGGGAGUAGACCCGAAACCGGGCGAUCUAGCCAUGUGCAGGAUGAAGGUUGGGUAACACCAACUGGAGGUCCGAACCGGGUAAUGUUGAAAAAUUAUCGGAUGACGUGUGGCUAGGAGUGAAAGGCUAAUCAAGCCCGGAGAUAGCUGGUUCUCCCCGAAAGCUAUUUAGGUAGCGCCUCGUGAAUGAUUACUGGGGGUAGAGCACUGUUUCGGCUAGGGGGCUGUCAUGGCUUACCAAACCGAUGCAAACUCCGAAUACCGGCUAAUUGAAUCACGGGAGACACACGGCGGGUGCUAACGUCCGUCGUGGAGAGGGAAACAACCCAGACCGCCAGCUAAGGUCCCCAAGUACUAGUUAAGUGGGAAACGAUGUGGGAAGGCAUAGACAGCCAGGAGGUUGGCUUAGAAGCAGCCACCCUUUAAAGAAAGCGUAAUAGCUCACUGGUCGAGUCGGCCUGCGCGGAAGAUGUAACGGGGCUAAAACUAGUCACCGAAGCUGCGGAUGUGCGCGAAGGCGCACGUGGUAGGGGAGCGUUCUGUAGGCUGAUGAAGGUGCAUUGAGAAGUGUGCUGGAGGUAUCAGAAGUGCGAAUGCUGACAUGAGUAACGAUAAUGUGGGUGAAAAGCCCACACGCCGGAAGUCCCAGGUUUCCUGCACGACGUUAAUCGGAGCAGGGUGAGUCGGCCCCUAAGGCGAGGCUGAAGAGCGUAGUCGAUGGGAACCAGGUUAAUAUUCCUGGACUUUUUAUAAGUGGUGAAGUGGGGACGAAGAAGGCUAGGUGAGCCAGGCGUUGGUUGUCCUGGUACUUGCAUGUAGGGGGGAAGACUUGGCAAAUCCGGUUUUCCAUAACUCUGAGGUGCGAAGUGGUUCUGACCUUUUGGUACAGAGAAGUCAUUGAUGCCCGGCUUCCAGGAAAAGCUGCUAGCCAUAACUUAUAGAGAACCGUACCGCAAACCGACACAGGUGGACAGGUAGAGAAUACUAAGGCGCUUGAGAGAACUCGGGUGAAGGAACUAGGCAAAAUGGUACCGUAACUUCGGGAGAAGGUACGCCCUUUCUGGUGAUGGGAUUUACUUUCAGAGCUGGAGAGGGCCGCAGAGACCAGGUGGCUGCGACUGUUUAUUAAAAACACAGCACUCUGCAAAUUCGUAAGAAGACGUAUAGGGUGUGACGCCUGCCCGGUGCCGGAAGGUUAAUUGAUGGGGUUAUCUUCGGAGAAGCUCUUGAUCGAAGCCCCGGUAAACGGCGGCCGUAACUAUAACGGUCCUAAGGUAGCGAAAUUCCUUGUCGGGUAAGUUCCGACCUGCACGAAUGGCGUAACGAUGGCCACACUGUCUCCACCCGAGACUCAGUGAAAUUGAAAUCGCUGUGAAGAUGCAGUGUACCCGCGGCUAGACGGAAAGACCCCGUGAACCUUUACUAUAGUUUUGCACUGGACUUUGAUGAUGACUGUGUAGGAUAGGUGGGAGGCUGUGAAGUGAG
rnacentral:rRNA from 1 species